GGUUAAGCGACUAAGCGUACACGGUGGAUGCCCUGGCAGUCAGAGGCGAUGAAGGACGUGCUAAUCUGCGAAAAGCGUCGGUAAGGUGAUAUGAACCGUUAUAACCGGCGAUGUCCGAAUGGGGAAACCCAGUGCAAUUCGUUGCACUAUCGUUAACUGAAUACAUAGGUUAACGAGGCGAACCGGGGGAACUGAAACAUCUAAGUACCCCGAGGAAAAGAAAUCAACCGAGAUUCCCCCAGUAGCGGCGAGCGAACGGGGAGCAGCCCGGAGUCUGAAUCAGCUUGUGUGUUAGUGGAAGCGUCUGGAAAGUCGCAGGGUACAGGGUGAUACUCCCGUACACUAAAACACACAGGCUGUGAACUCGAAGAGUAGGGCGGGACACGUGGUAUCCUGUCUGAAUAUGGGGGGACCAUCCUCCAAGGCUAAAUACUCCUGACUGACCGAUAGUGAACCAGUACCGUGAGGGAAAGGCGAAAAGAACCCCGGCGAGGGGAGUGAAAAAGAACCUGAAACCGUGUACGUACAAGCAGUAGGAGCCCACUAGUUGGGUGACUGCGUACCUUUUGUAUAAUGGGUCAGCGACUUAUAUUCUGUAGCAAGGUUAACCGAAUAGGGGAGCCGCAGGGAAACCGAGUCUUAACUGGGCGUUAAGUUGCAGGGUAUAGACCCGAAACCCGGUGAUCUAGCCAUGGGCAGGUUGAAGGUUGGGUAACACUAACUGGAGGACCGAACCGACUAAUGUUGAAAAAUUAGCGGAUGACUUGUGGCUGGGGGUGAAAGGCCAAUCAAACCGGGAGAUAGCUGGUUCUCCCCGAAAGCUAUUUAGGUAGCGCCUCGUGAAUUCAUCUUCGGGGGUAGAGCACUGUUUCGGCUAGGGGGUCAUCCCGACUUACCAACCCGAUGCAAACUACGAAUACCGAAGAAUGUUAUCACGGGAGACACACGGCGGGUGCUAACGUCCGUCGUGAAGAGGGAAACAACCCAGACCGCCAGCUAAGGUCCCAAAGUCAUGGUUAAGUGGGAAACGAUGUGGGAAGGCCCAGACAGCCAGGAUGUUGGCUUAGAAGCAGCCAUCAUUUAAAGAAAGCGUAAUAGCUCACUGGUCGAGUCGGCCUGCGCGGAAGAUGUAACGGGGCUAAACCAUGCACCGAAGCUGCGGCAGCGACACUAUGUGUUGUUGGGUAGGGGAGCGUUCUGUAAGCCGUUGAAGGUGGCCUGUGAGGGUUGCUGGAGGUAUCAGAAGUGCGAAUGCUGACAUAAGUAACGAUAAUGCGGGUGAAAAACCCGCACGCCGGAAGACCAAGGGUUCCUGUCCAACGUUAAUCGGGGCAGGGUGAGUCGACCCCUAAGGCGAGGCCGAAAGGCGUAGUCGAUGGGAAACAGGUUAAUAUUCCUGUACUUGGUGUUACUGCGAAGGGGGGACGGAGAAGGCUAUGUUGGCCGGGCGACGGUUGUCCCGGUUUAAGCAUGUAGGCGGAUGUUCCAGGUAAAUCCGGAACGUUAUUAACGCUGAGGUGUGAUGACGAGGCACUACGGUGCUGAAGUGACAAAUGCCCUGCUUCCAGGAAAAGCCUCUAAGCAUCAGGUAACAUCAAAUCGUACCCCAAACCGACACAGGUGGUCAGGUAGAGAAUACCAAGGCGCUUGAGAGAACUCGGGUGAAGGAACUAGGCAAAAUGGUGCCGUAACUUCGGGAGAAGGCACGCUGAUGGUAAGUGAAGUGACUUGCUCAUGGAGCUGAAAUCAGUCGAAGAUACCAGCUGGCUGCAACUGUUUAUUAAAAACACAGCACUGUGCAAACACGAAAGUGGACGUAUACGGUGUGACGCCUGCCCGGUGCCGGAAGGUUAAUUGAUGGGGUUAUCCUCGCGGAGAAGCUCUUGAUCGAAGCCCCGGUAAACGGCGGCCGUAACUAUAACGGUCCUAAGGUAGCGAAAUUCCUUGUCGGGUAAGUUCCGACCUGCACGAAUGGCGUAAUGAUGGCCAGGCUGUCUCCACCCGAGACUCAGUGAAAUUGAACUCGCUGUGAAGAUGCAGUGUACCCGCGGCAAGACGGAAAGACCCCGUGAACCUUUACUAUAGCUUGACACUGAACACUGGUCCUUGAUGUGUAGGAUAGGUGGGAGGCUUUGAAGUGUGGACGCCAGUCUGCAUGGAGCCAUCCUUGAAAUACCACCCUUUAAUGGCUGGUGUUCUAACGUGGGCCCGUGAUCCGGGUUGCGGACAGUGUCUGGUGGGUAGUUUGACUGGGGCGGUCUCCUCCUAAAGAGUAACGGAGGAGCACGAAGGUCAGCUAAUCCUGGUCGGACAUCAGGAGGUUAGUGCAAUGGCAUAAGCUGGCUUGACUGCGAGCGUGACGGCGCGAGCAGGUGCGAAAGCAGGUCAUAGUGAUCCGGUGGUUCUGAAUGGAAGGGCCAUCGCUCAACGGAUAAAAGGUACUCCGGGGAUAACAGGCUGAUACCGCCCAAGAGUUCAUAUCGACGGCGGUGUUUGGCACCUCGAUGUCGGCUCAUCACAUCCUGGGGCUGAAGUAGGUCCCAAGGGUAUGGCUGUUCGCCAUUUAAAGUGGUACGCGAGCUGGGUUUAGAACGUCGUGAGACAGUUCGGUCCCUAUCUGCCGUGGGCGCUGGAGAAUUGAGGGGGGCUGCUCCUAGUACGAGAGGACCGGAGUGGACGCAUCACUGGUGUUCGGGUUGUCAUGCCAAUGGCAUUGCCCGGUAGCUAAAUGCGGAAGAGAUAAGUGCUGAAAGCAUCUAAGCACGAAACUUGCCCCGAGAUGAGUUCUCCCUGACCCUUUAAGGGUCCUGAAGGAACGUUGAAGACGACGACGUUGAUAGGCCGGGUGUGUAAGCGCAGCGAUGCGUUGAGCUAACCGGUACUAAUGAACCGUGAGGCUUAACCUU
rnacentral:rRNA from 1 species